ACGUGCUUUUCCAUCUCUUCCCGUUAGCCAGGUUCGAAUCCGCUCCUUCGUAUUUUUACUCUAAUUUUUUUUUAAAAUGUAAACCUAAUUACUUAAGAACCACCUUGUAAUGCAAAUGGACAUGCUGUUUACGAUGCUCAACAUCCAUGCAGGUAUAAUUGAUAAUAUGUACUUCGUGUUUUUAUCUUUUUAAUUUGACUUUGAACACGUGUUGGUUCUUUUCUUCAGAUAUGAAACUGGGGAUCAUGUAGGUGUUUACUGCGAACUAAAUAUGCUGAUUUUUUGAGUUCACCAAAAAAGGUUUACAUAUUUUAUUACAUUAGGAUAAUUUUUUUGUCAUGUUUAAAGUAAUUGAUUGUUCUGAUGCCCUUGAUUUCCAGUCUGCUUUACUUGCUUUAGCUGCUCAUGGUACUGAUCCAACUGAAGCUGAUAGACUCAGGCAUCUCGUUUCACCUGCCGAAAAGGACGAAUAUGCACAAUGGAUAGUUACUUCUCAAGAAGUCUGCUUGAGGUCAUGACUGAGUUUCCAUCAGCCAAGCCCCCGCUUGGUGUCUUCUUUGCGAUAGUUUAUUAGACAGAAAUUAAGAUUAAUUGCUAUUGUAGAGUAUUGUCGUUUGAACUUGAGAAGUAUUGUCGAUUGUCGCCUUUUUCAAACUCUGGAUUAGUUGUGGUUGAUGCACUAUUCCUUUU